rnacentral:tRNA from 1 species
GCAGUCGUGGCCUAGUGUUUAAGGCGAUGGACUAGAAAUGCAUUGGGGUCUCCCCGCACAGGUUCGAAUCCUGUUGACUGCG